rnacentral:rRNA from 1 species
UCAGUCGUACCAACGGGAAAUCAACCUACUUGAGUUGUGAGUUUUGGAUUUUGAAGAGUGUAAAAGCCUUCGGGUUCAGAUAUUUGCGGCUUUUUAGGCGUAAUUUCUAGUUCGGUAGGUUAACAUCGAUUUUGAGGAUUAUAAAAUGAUCGGAGGAAUGUAGCUUCGAUCUCGUAUUGAAGUGUUAUAGCCUUUGGUAGAUGUAAUGAUCAAGAUCGAGGAUUGCAACGAAUACCCUUUGGGCUAUCCGUCUGAUCUCUGAUACGUUGCCUUGGUAACGAAAGCGUGCUUACGGUAUUGAGGUAUUACGGUCAAAAGGUUAGAACGUGAUUACA